rnacentral:rRNA from 1 species
UACAGAGGUCUCAAGCGUUGUUCGGAUUCAUUGGGCGUAAAGGGUGCGUAGGCGGCGCGGUAAGUCGGGUGUGAAGUCUCGGGGCUUAACUCCGAAACUGCAUUCGAUACUGCCGUGCUUGAGGACUGGAGAGGAGACUGGAAUUUACGGUGUAGCGGUGAAAUGCGUAGAUAUCGUAAGGAAGACCAGUGGCGAAGGCGGGUCUCUGGACAGUUCCUGACGCUGAGGCACGAAGGUCAGGGGAGCAAACGGG